UAAACAACCAAACAAUAUUGACUGCGGAUAUUACGUUAUGAGGAUGAUGAAGAAUGUACUUAUUAGUGCCCCUCAUAUCAAACAUUUCUUGUCGAAACAGUUCACCUCUGACAAACCAUAUACUACUCAAGAAAUUGACGAAGUUCGAGAAGAAUGGGCAAUGUCAUUUUUACAAUUGGUUAGAGCAAAAUGAAUGAUGUUAUAGCUAGCUAAUUACAAUACACAUGUUCAGAAAUUUUAAAUUUAUUUUGCAAAUUUUAUUUCAAUUUUUUUAGUAUUUUA